UACAAAAGAAGGCAUGGGCAGAGUCUCUGACUCUACCGGACCUUGCCCAACUCGGGACCGGGGACCAGUACCGGAAGGCGUACCGGUACCUGGAACAAGAUCC